rnacentral:snRNA from 1 species
AUCGCUUCUCGGCCUUUUGGCUAAGAUCAAGUGUAGUAUAUACAGAGGACUGAAUAGUGAAUGAAGUAUAACUGACCCACA